ensembl:snoRNA
UGCCCCUGUCCUGGGUACAGUGGCAUCUGGCAUUCAUCUCAUAUCAGCCAGAGACAAAGCAACCCCUUGUUUCUCUCAGCUUGGCCUUUAGUCUGUGCCCAUGCCUGGUUCAUGGCUUGGAAACAUGG